rnacentral:rRNA from 1 species
GACGAACGCUGGCGGCGUGCUUAACACAUGCAAGUCGAACGGAAAGGCCCUGCUUUUGUGGGGUGCUCGAGUGGCGAACGGGUGAGUAACACGUGAGUAACCUGCCCUUGACUUUGGGAUAACUUCAGGAAACUGGGGCUAAUACCGGAUAGGAGCUCCUGCUGCAUGGUGGGGGUUGGAAAGUUUCGGCGGUUGGGGAUGGACUCGCGGCUUAUCAGCUUGUUGGUGGGGUAGUGGCUUACCAAGGCUUUGACGGGUAGCCGGCCUGAGAGGGUGACCGGCCACAUUGGGACUGAGAUACGGCCCAGACUCCUACGGGAGGCAGCAGUGGGGAAUAUUGCACAAUGGGCGGAAGCCUGAUGCAGCAACGCCGCGUGCGGGAUGACGGCCUUCGGGUUGUAAACCGCUUUCGCCUGUGACGAAGCGUGAGUGACGGUAAUGGGUAAAGAAGCACCGGCUAACUACGCGCCAGCAGCCGCGGUGAUACGUAGGGUGCGAGCGUUGUCCGGAUUUAUUGGGCGUAAAGGGCUCGUAGGUGGUUGAUCGCGUCGGAAGUGUAAUCUUGGGGCUUAACCCUGAGCGUGCUUUCGAUACGGGUUGACUUGAGGAAAGUAGGGGAGAAUGGGAUUCCUGGUGGAGCGGUGGAAUGCGCAGAUAUCAGGAGGAACACCAGUGGCGAAGGCGGUUCUCUGGGCCUUUCCUGACGCUGAGGAGCGAAAGCGUGGGGAGCGAACAGGCUUAGAUACCCUGGUAGUCCACGCUGUAAACGGUGGGUACUAGGUGUGGGGUCCAUUCCACGGGUUCCGUGCCGUAGCUAACGCUUUAAGUACCCCGCCUGGGGAGUACGGCCGCAAGGCUAAAACUCAAAGGAAUUGACGGGGCCCCGCACAAGCGGCGGAGCAUGCGGAUUAAUUCGAUGCAACGCGUAGAACCUUACCUGGGUUUGACAUGGAUCGGGAGUGCUCAGAGAUGGGUGUGCCUCUUUUGGGGUCGGUUCACAGGUGGUGCAUGGCUGUCGUCAGCUCGUGUCGUGAGAUGUUGGGUUAAGUCCCGCAACGAGCGCAACCCUUGUUCACUGUUGCCAGCACGUUAUGGUGGGGACUCAGUGGAGACCGCCGGGGUCAACUCGGAGGAAGGUGGGGAUGACGUCAAGUCAUCAUGCCCCUUAUGUCCAGGGCUUCACGCAUGCUACAAUGGCUGGUACAGAGAGUGGCGAGCCUGUGAGGGUGAGCGAAUCUCGGAAAGCCGGUCUCAGUUCGGAUUGGGGUCUGCAACUCGACCUCAUGAAGUCGGAGUCGCUAGUAAUCGCAGAUCAGCAACGCUGCGGUGAAUACGUUCUCGGG